AAAUCUCACUCCACUCCAGCAGUGCAACAAUCUCAAUCUUCUGAACCAUCUCAAGCAAUAGUGCAAAGUGACAGUGGUAAUAGAAAAGGUGCAAAUAAUGCAUUUAAGAGGCCAAGAGUAGUGGGUCAUGGAGUAUUUGUGAGCAAAGAUGGUUUUAUUUGUGCCGAGCAAGGAAGAUCUAUUAGUAGGGUAAUCAAGAGUGGAGCACAAGAGAAACUGAUAAGUUCAGCUAUUGUCACCGGUGACCUUGGGUAUGCACCAAGUAAAGGUCUUAAAUGGAAGGGGAAAAGUGCUAUCACAGGAAGACAACUUCAACAUAAAAGUGCUUUGCUUAGACAGAAGAACAUCAAGUCACAAACUUCAUCACAAGGUGCAACAAGAACUGAAGGUGUUUAGGGAUGAUGUGGCUGAUUUUUCAUGUGGCUCGAACUAUUUUUAAGUCACGUAUUUUGGUUGUGAAUAGGACGAUGUCGACUUUUAGUUAUGAAUUUUAAUGUUACUAAACACGGUGACUAAUUUGCAGCCCAAGUAGUUAUUGUAAUCUACUAAACAUGGUGACUGAUUUUUCAUGUGGUUCGAACUGUUCUUAAGUCGUGUAUUUUGGUUGUGAAUAUGAUGGUAUCGAAUUUGGGUUGUGAA